AAAGUCGUAACAAGGUUUCCGUAGGUGAACCUGCGGAAGGAUCAUUAAAGGUUUAGGGUACCCAGUGCCCAAACUUCAACCCUAUGUUUACGUUAACUUGUUUCUUUGCCGGUUUAGGCCGGCAGAAGAUUUCUCAAACUCAUUAUAAAUGUGUCCUCUGAAUGAAAUAUUCAAUGUAUUAAAACUUUCAACAACGGAUCUCUUGGUUCUG
rnacentral:misc_RNA from 1 species